AGAGUUUGAUCAUGGCUCAGGAUGAACGCUAGCUACAGGCUUAACACAUGCAAGUCGAGGGGCAGCAUGUUGGUUGCUUGCAACCAACGAUGGCGACCGGCGCACGGGUGAGUAACGCGUAUCCAACCUACCCUUGUCCAUCGGAUAACCCGUCGAAAGGCGGCCUAACACGAUAUGCGGUUCACAGCAGGCAUCUAACGUGAACGAAAUGUAAAGGAGAAGGAUGGGGAUGCGUCUGAUUAGCUUGUUGGCGGGGUAACGGCCACCAAGGCUACGAUCAGUAGGGGUUCUGAGAGGAAGGUCCCCACAUUGGAACUGAGACACGGUCAAACUCACGGAGCA
rnacentral:rRNA from 1 species